rnacentral:rRNA from 1 species
GAUGAACGCUAGCGGCAGGCCUAAUACAUGCAAGUCGAACGAGAUUAAGAGGCUUGCUUCUUAUGAAAGUGGCGCACGGGUGCGUAACGCGUAUGCAACCUACCUUAAUCAGGGGGAUAGCCCGAAGAAAUUCGGAUUAAGACCGCAUAAAAACACAGGAUAGCAUUAUCCAAUGUUCAAAUAUUUAUAGGAUUAAGAUGGGCAUGCGUGUCAUUAGCUAGUUGGCGGGGUAACGGCCCACCAAGGCGACGAUGACUAGGGGAUCUGAGAGGAUGACCCCCCGCACUGGUACUGAGACACGGACCAGACUCCUACGGGAGGCAGCAGUAAGGAAUAUUGGUCAAUGGGGGGAACUCUGAACCAGCCAUGCCGCGUGCAGGAAGACAGCCCUCUGGGUCGUAAACUGCUAUUAUUCGGGAAUAAACCUUUCUACGUGUAGGAAGCUGAAUGUACCGAAGGAAUAAGGAUCGGCUAACUCCGUG